CACGCCGUAAACGAUGAGUGCUAAGUGUUGGAGGGUUUCCGCCCUUCAGUGCUGCAGCUAACGCAUUAAGCACUCCGCCUGGGGAGUACGACCGCAAGGUUGAAACUCAAAGGAAUUGACGGGGGCCCGCACAAGCGGUGGAGCAUGUGGUUUAAUUCGAAGCAACGCGAAGAACCUUACCAGGUCUUGACAUCCCUUGAAAAUCCUAGAGAUAGGACUUCCCCUUCGGGGGCAAGGUGACAGGUGG
rnacentral:rRNA from 1 species